CCUACGGGCGGCAGCAGUGGGGAAUAUUGGACAAUGGGGGCAACCCUGAUCCAGCCAUGCCGCGUGUGUGAAGAAGGCCCUCGGGUUGUAAAGCACUUUCAGUGAGGAAGAACGCCUGGUGGUUAAUACCCAUCAGGAAAGACAUCACUCACAGAAGAAGCACCGGCUAACUCCGUGCCAGCAGCCGCGGUAAUACGGAGAGUGCGAGCGUUAAUCGGAAUUACUGGGCGUAAAGCGCGCGUAGGUGGCUUGAUAAGCCGGUUGUGAAAGCCCCGGGCUCAACCUGGGAACGGCAUCCGGAACUGUCAAGCUAGAGUGCAGGAGAGGAAGGUAGAAUUCCCGGUGUAGCGGUGAAAUGCGUAGAGAUCGGGAGGAAUACCAGUGGCGAAGGCGGCCUUCUGGACUGACACUGACACUGAGGUGCGAAAGCGUGGGUAGCAAACAGGAUUAGAUACCCCGGUAGUC
rnacentral:rRNA from 1 species